rnacentral:rRNA from 1 species
CAGCAGCCGCGGGAAUACGAAGGGUGCAAGCGUUACUCGGAAUUACUGGGCGUAAAGCGUGCGUAGGUGGUGGUUUAAGUCCGUUGUGAAAGCCCUGGGCUCAACCUGGGAAUUGCAGUGGAUACUGGGUCACUAGAGUGUGGUAGAGGAUGGUGGAAUUUCCGGUGUAGCGGUGAAAUGCGUAGAGAUCGGGAGGAACAUCAGUGGCGAAGGCGGCCAUCUGGGACAACACUGACGCUGAGGCACGAAAGCGUGGGGAGCAAACAGGAUUAGAUACCCGGGUAGUCCCUGUCUCUUAUAC